rnacentral:lncRNA from 1 species
GGGUUUCCUCUUGGACCCCUAGAGUUGGUAGGACAGGGAAGGCGGCAGGGGACCGAGCAGUGGAGCUGCUGACUCCGUGGGGCUGAGUGGCUCUGGCCCUGCACCAGGGAAGGGGUUAAACUCCUCUGCUGUAAGCAGAUAAAGGAAGGAACAGAAUCCGGCUGGCCUGGUCUGCACUCCAUACCGAGGUUUCUGUGCUGACUUCUGCUCUUUCAAGUGACUGAUUGAAAAGAAAGAGAUGAAGCAAUAUGAAUCCCUGAGCAUCAGCUCAUCACUGACCCCGAGGAAACGGUCUGAGGUGGAAACAGUAAGGACAGCAAAGGUUUACGAGCGUGAAUGAAAAUGCCGUUCAGCUUUGAGAUCCAUGCACUCUCACAGGAAGUUUAUAAAACAGAAAAACAACCCUGACUUCUGGUUUGGUUCAACGAGGCUUCUGAGUGUACCAGGCACUGUGUGGCCUACCUUUCACUGAG